rnacentral:rRNA from 1 species
UACGUAGGGUGCGAGCGUUUGUCCGGAAUUAUUGGGCGUAAAGGGCUCGUAGGCGGUUUGUCGCGUCGGGAGUGAAAACCAUGAGCUUAACUCAUGGCUUGCUUUCGAUACGGGCAGACUAGAGGCAUGCAGGGGGAGAACGGAAUUCCUGGUGUAGCGGUGAAAUGCGCAGAUAUCAGGAGGAACACCGGUGGCGAAGGCGGUUCUCUGGGGCAUGUCCUGACGCUGAGGAGCGAAAGUGUGGGGGAGCGAACAGG